rnacentral:lncRNA from 1 species
GUGGGGCUGCUGUUGCGGGCCGUGGAGCCGCGGCCCCGCUGGAGGGCAGGGUCCGGCUGGGCGUCGGGGUCCUGGCAGAGACCGAGGCGAGGGCAGGAGCAGGUGCACUGGCCGCUGCACAGGCGCCGCCAGGCUCCCGGACACCGCGGGCGCGCCCCCUGGUGGCAGCCGGCUCCGGAGCCGCGGGAGGGCGUGCCCAGUCCCCAGCCAGGCGGCAGCGCGAAGCUCCUUCCCCGCGU